AAGACCUUGCGCUUUUGGAGCGGUCGAUGUCUGAUUAGCUUGUUGGUAAGGUAAAAGCUUACCAAGGCUUCGAUCAGUAGCUGGUCUGAGAGGACGACCAGCCACACUGGGACUGAGACACGGCCCAGACUCCUACGGGAGGCAGCAGUGGGGAAUUUUGGACAAUGGGGGCAACCCUGAUCCAGCCAUGCCGCGUGAGUGAAGAAGGCCUUCGGGUUGUAAAGCUCUUUCAGCCGGAACGAAACGGUUACGGUUAAUACCCGUGACUACUGACGGUACCGGAAGAAGAAGCACCGGCUAACUACGUGCCAGCAGCCGCGGUAAUACGUAGGGUGCAAGCGUUAAUCGGAAUUACUGGGCGUAAAGCGUGCGCAGGUGGUUUUGUAAGUCAGAUGUGAAAUCCCCGGGCUUAACCUGGGAACU
rnacentral:rRNA from 1 species